GAAAUGCGAUAAGUAAUGUGAAUUGCAGAAUUCAGUGAGUCAUCGAGCCUUUGAACGCACAUUGCACCCCCUGGCAUUCCGGGGGGCAUGCCUGUCCGUGCGUCAUUGCUACCCUCAAGCAAGGCUUGUGUGUUGGGCCGCCGUCCGCCCCGCUCCGCGGGGGUGACGCGCCCGAAAGGCGGCGCCGGCACCGCGUCCGGUCCUCGAGCGUAUGGGGCUUCGUCACCCGCUCCGUGGGACCGGCCGACGCCAGGCUUCGUCAACCUCUUCUUUUCUAGGUUGACCUCGGAUCAGGUAGGGAUACCCGCUGAACUUAA
rnacentral:misc_RNA from 1 species